CUGUUAUCAAAAGAUUGCUUGAACAACACAAGCCUUGGUGAUGAUCAUGGUGUAUAGGGCAAUGAGACAGAUUGGUGAAUGAUUGAGGCAACAGGAGUGACAGGACCUCAUGACUCUUGGCAUCCAGAAGGCUGGUGUGGGCUCUUUCUCAUAGCAGCUAGGAAGAGAGGGAACAGAAGCUUGAAAGGCUGCCUGAGGCCUAGACCUAGAAUUGGACCAGUGCAAUUCUGCCACAUUCUUUUAAACAAAGCAAGUUACAAGGCUAGCCUAAAUCCAAGAAGGAAAAUAGACUUCACCUCUUGACAGAAGAAGCUGCAAUGUCACACUGCAAAGUGCAUGAUAAAUAAGAACUGAACUAGAAACUUCUGUAAUCACUCAAUCACAUUCCUCCACCAUUAUUCCAAAAAUAUUUGCUCUACACUUCUUUUCAAUGUCCAUACCCUGAUGAAGCCAAAUGAAGUUUGUUGACCAACUUACUUACAACUUACAACCAGCAGAGAAAGCCAGGUUAGAAUCCAAAGUCAAGAAGCAAGACAAAAGAGAGAGAUUGUCAUAAUUCCCAGUUUAUUAUUUGUGUCUUCAGUGUCAACAAGACCAAAAUAAAGCUUCUCCACGCUACCAGCUUUGAAAUGAGAAUUCUGUUCCCUUUAUGUUUGCUUGUCUAUACUUCUAUUAGAUUGAACUACAUGAAAUUGCCAUUUUUUUGGUAAAAUAUGGUCAAAUGUUGGCAAUUUAAGAUGUCUUACCUGUAAUUUGUAAAGUAGACUUGAAAAAAAUGUAGACUUGAAAAAAAAUCAUACUUUGAUUCUUUGGGAAAUGAUGGGAAGUUUUUAGAAUAACCAUACACAGACAUUUUUAAAUAAA
rnacentral:lncRNA from 1 species